AUUGAACGCUGGCGGCAUGCCUUACACAUGCAAGUCGAACGGCAGCGGACCUUCGGGUGCCGGCGAGUGGCGAACGGGUGAGUAAUAUAUCGGAACGUACCUUUCAGUGGGGGAUAACGUAGCGAAAGUUACGCUAAUACCGCAUAUUCUGUGAGCAGGAAAGCAGGGGAUCGCAAGACCUUGCGCUGAUUGAGCGGCCGAUAUCAGAUUAGCUAGUUGGUGAGGUAAAGGCUCACCAAGGCGACGAUCUGUAGCGGGUCUGAGAGGAUGAUCCGCCACACUGGAACUGAGACACGGUCCAGACUCCUACGGGAGGCAGCAGUGGGGAAUUUUGGACAAUGGGCGCAAGCCUGAUCCAGCCAUGCCGCGUGAGUGAAGAAGGCCUCGGUUGUAAGUACGUCUUCGGUCCGGGUAACGGAAAGUACGAC
rnacentral:rRNA from 1 species